AACGAACGCUGGCGGCAUGCCUAACACAUGCAAGUCGAACGAGACCUUCGGGUCUAGUGGCGCACGGGUGCGUAACGCGUUGGAACCUGCCCUUAGGUUCUGAAUCUCUCCCCGAAAUAGGUGCUAAUACCGGAUAAUGUCUUCGGACCAAAGAUUUCUCGCCUUUGGAUGGGCCCGCGUUGGAUUAGCUAGUUGGUAGGGUAAAAGCCUAUCAAGGCGACGAUCCAUAGCUGGUCUGAGAGGAUGAUCAGCCACACUGGGACUGAGACACGGCCCAGACUCCUACGGGAGGCAGCAGUGGGGAAUAUUGGACAAUGGGCGAAAGCCUGAUCCAGCAAUGCCGCGUGAGUGAUGAAGGCCUUAGGGUUGUAAAGCUCUUUUACCCGGGAUGAUAAUGACAGUACCGGGAGAAUAAGCUCCGGCUAACUCCGUG
rnacentral:rRNA from 1 species